ACAAGGUGCUGCAUGGUUGUCGUCAGCUCGUGCCGUGAGGUGUCGGGUUAAGUCCCAUAACGAGCGCAACCCUUACCGUUAGUUGCCAUCGGGUCAAGCCGGGGACUCUAGCGGGACUGCCACCGUAAGGUGAGAGGAAGGUGGGGAUGACGUCAAAUCAGCACGGCCCUUAUGUCCAGGGCUACACACGUGUUACAAUGGCCGGUACAGAGGGCAGCUACCUGGUGACAGGAUGCUAAUCCCGAAAGCCGGUCCCAGUUCGGAUUGGAGUCUGCAACCCGACUCCAUGAAGUUGGAUUCGCUAGUAAUCGUGUCUCAAAAUGGCACGGUGAAUAUGUCCCUGCUCCUU
rnacentral:rRNA from 1 species